rnacentral:rRNA from 1 species
CACCUCUAGCAUCACCAGUAUUAGAGGCACCGCCUGCCCAGUGACACAUGUUUAACGGCCGCGGUACCCUAACCGUGCAAAGGUAGCAUAAUCACUUGUUCCUUAAAUAGGGACCUGUAUGAAUGGCUCCACGAGGGUUCAGCUGUCUCUUACUUUUAACCAGUGAAAUUGACCUGCCCGUGAAGAGGCGGGCAUGACACAGCAAGACGAGAAGACCCUAUGGAGCUUUAAUUAACUGAUUCACAAAAAACAACACACAAACCUAACCUUCAGGGACAACAAAACUUUUGAUUGAAUCAGCAAUUUCGGUUGGGGUGACCUCGGAGAACAAAACAACCUCCGAGUGAUUUAAAUCCAGACUAACCAGUCAAAAUAUAUAAUCACUUAUUGAUCCAAACCAUUGAUCAACGGAACAAGUUACCCUAGGGAUAACAGCGCAAUCCUAUUCCAGAGUCCAUAUCGACAAUUAGGGUUUACGACCUCGAUGUUGGAUCAAGACAUCCUAAUGGUGCAACCGCUAUUAAGGGUUCGUUUGUUCAACGAUUAAAGUCUU